rnacentral:misc_RNA from 1 species
AUGCGGGACAAGGAGACUCCAAGGGUGUUUAGGCCUGGGAUUUUCUCAACAUUGGCUCCGGUGACCAGGGAGCCUAGGGUGUUGUUGGUGAGUCCUGGUUUGGCCAACCCAUCGAAGAAGAAGUCAUCUGCUGUGAAAUUUUCUUUGCAGGUAAAACCAUUAACUUUCACAGCAGAGGUAAGAUCAGCAACACAGACAUCUUGAAGCAUGUCAGGAUCAGCAGUAACAGAGGCCAAGACAAUACCAAAAGACAAAACAAAUAGGGCCACCAUAGCCGUCAUAGUUGCAGGGAUAGUGUUUUUUGGUUCCUUUCUCUCUCUCUGAGUGUUUGCAGUUAAAGCAGAAGACAAAGGGCAAGAAAGAGGGAGGUUUGUUUGGAAUGAAUCAACUGGAGAGAGUUUGGAAAUGCUUUUAUAGUGACUGACAACUGCAUAUCCUAUGGUAUAGACAAUUCAUAUUUUAAAUCUAAAUGGAUGCUGUGAAGGUUAAAGCACGAAACUUGCCUUCUUAAACCAAAAGGGAAGUAAUGAUUCUUGAGCUUGGACUGGUAUCC